AUAAUCUCUUCAUAUUUCAGCCAUCUGGUCGUCGUCCGUUAUAUGGACCUUUUCUUAUUCUAUCGUUUUAACAUUGUAAUUACCGAUUAUCUUUUUUGUUGAAUAAAUUUUAAAUGCUUAGGACAAAACUAAUAUUACAUGUUGUGGUUUCGGACCUGGAGAGAUUACAGGCUUCGGCCCAAAACUUCCUUGUAUUAAAAAAA
rnacentral:sRNA from 1 species